AUCCCAUAUCCUCCCAGCUUUACACAAGCACCCGACUGUAACACGCUCUAAGCAAUACGUACUACUGUCAACAUUGUACUGGACUAGGGCUCCGGUCUGAACCAGUAUAAUCAACUCGCCUCAGAUCCACCCUCGAGCUCCACCCGUAGCUCAUCAUUCGGAGUGAGUACCGCGCAAACACCCCUGCCGAACACAAAUCUUAUUGUCCACGGGUUCCGAAAACCACAACAAAUAGUUAUCCAUAUUAAAAUUAAUUAAAAUCAAUAUCUAUAUAUUGUUAACAAUACAAAGUUACAUUUUAGAGAUGGACUAUCGUUAGGUAAUUAUACAUGCAUGUUAUCUGUUAAAUUAAAAUUAUUGUUUUUUCUUUAGGGCUAGUUUGGCAACCCCAUUUUUCAAUGGAAUUUCCAAUUUUCCAAGGAAAAAUGAACUAAUUUCCCUUGGGAAAAUGAAAAACUUUUGGAAAAUAGGGUUCCCAAACUGGCCCUUAUAUAGCUAAUUAGUCAUGAUUAUAAGAUUUGGAUGGCUUCAAAACCUGGGGAUGAUGGUAAUGUAGGGCAUUUCAUAUUUUUAUCGAUGUGAAAUUAGAUAGAUAUAUAGUAGCAGUCUUUUUUAAAGAAAAAAUAAUUGCGAACAUUAUCUAUACAAUCAAAACAAGCAUACGGAUAUCCAUAUUGACAGCAAAUAGAUAUCGGAUCUUGCAGAUAUAUCUAGACUAGACAUCCGCAUUGUCUCGAGGCCCUAGAACGACACGUAUUACCCUGUGUGGGCCCUCCUGCUUUCUUACCCGACCUACUGCUAUCUCCGAUCGAUCCAUUGUGGCACCAUGAUGCUUCAGUGCACUAACGUACAAAAGCAGAGCGCUUUAUUAUUAUUUAUUUAUACGUAUAUGGCAGUCAUAGAUCGCCAGCCACUGCUGCCUCAGCUCGGUCAUUACCCUAACAGCGGGCCUCAUCACCAUCGGCGUCUACCUACCAGCAAGAGCAGUCAGUCACUUACCGAACCCUACUGCAGCUGCUUUUGUUUCCUUAUGCCCUCGACCGC
rnacentral:lncRNA from 1 species